rnacentral:rRNA from 1 species
UACGGGGGGGGUAAGCGUUGUUCGGAAUUACUGGGCGUAAAGGGCUCGUAGGCGGCCAACUAAGUCGGACGUGAAAUCCCUCAGCUUAACUGGGGAACUGCGUCCGAUACUGGAUGGCUUGGAUUUGGGAGAGGGAUGCGGAAUUCCAGGUGUAGCGGUGAAAUGCGUAGAUAUCUGGAGGAACACCGGUGGCGAAGGCGGCAUCCUGGACCAACAUUGACGCUGAGGCGCGAAAGCCAGGGGAGCAAACAGG